AUCGCUUCUCGGCCUUUUGGCCAAGAUCAAGUGUGCUAUCUGUUCUUAUCAGUUUAAUAUCUGAUAAGUCCUCUAUAUCAGGACUACAUAUUAAAUUGAUUUUUAGAACAGGGAGACAGAAGAGGGGCUUGCUCUGUCCGCUCCACGCAUCGACCUGUCAGAACCUGCAGAACCUCCGGGAACGGGGGUGCAGUU
ensembl:snRNA U2 U2 spliceosomal RNA